ACUUAAUCUCCAAUUUCUCUAAUUUUCUCUCUUAAGUGUAAGUCUUAUUCUCGUGAGGAGCGGAGUUCGUGGGCUAGGUGCGCGCCAAGUAAGAAUCUACUCGGCACCCAACAAAUUCUCGUGGUCAUCGGAGGUCGUGGGUUAGGAGCGG